GACAGAGGGGGGCAAGCGUUGCUCGGAAUCACUGGGCGUAAAGGGCGCGUAGGCGGGAUGGCAAGUCAGUCGUGAAAUCUCUCGGCUCAACCGAGAAACGUCGGCUGAUACUGCCGUUCUUGAGGGAUGCAGAGGAGACUGGAAUUCCCGGUGUAGCGGUGAAAUGUGUAGAGAUCGGGAGGAACACCGGUGGCGAAGGCGGCCAGCUGGGCCAGAUCCGACACUGAGGCGCGAAAGCGUGGGGAGCAAACAGG
rnacentral:rRNA from 1 species